AUAUAUGUAGCUUAAAUAAUUAAAGCGCACCAUUGAAAAUACUAAGAUGAGACUGACUUCUCCAAACACA
rnacentral:tRNA from 1 species